GAUUCAUGACUGACCGGCUCAAAGUACAUAAACCAGUCUAGGUUGGUCAUAGCUUGGUCAUAGCUGAUCAGCUCUUCUAAGAAGGCAAUACCAACUUAUAACCUUCCGUCUAGCCUAGUCUAGGUUGGUCAUAGCUAACAAGCUCAGCCAAGAAGGCAAUACCAACUUAUAACUUUCCGUCUAGCUUAGUCUAGGUUGGUCAUAGCUGACCAGCUCAACUAAGAAGGCAAUACAAACUUAUAACCUUCCGUCUAGCCUAGUCUAGGUCUAGGUUAGUCAUAGCUUACCAGCUUAGUCAAGAAGGUAAUAUACCUUAGCCGGUCAUAGCUGACUAGCUCAACGAAAAAAACAAUGCCAAUUUAUAACAUUGUAGUUAUCAAGACAGCAGUCUAUGACCAGCUCAACGAAAAAAGCAAUGCCAACUUAUAACAUUGUAGUUAUCAAGACAACAGUUUGACCAACUUGGCUGAGUUGUCCCGUUACACACUAAAUUUAUGUUGGAAAUGGUGUGGAUACAUUAUAUAUUGAUAUGUGACAUAUAUA